UACGUAGGAGGCGAGCGUUGUCCGGAUUUACUGGGCGUAAAGCGCGCGCAGGCGGCACUUCAAGUAAGGUGUGAAAUCUCCCUGCUCAACGGGGAGGGUGCACUUUAGACUGGGGAGCUAGAGGACGGUAGAGGGGGGUGGAAUUGCUGGUGUAGCGGUGAAAUGCGUAGAGAUCAGCAGGAACACCCGUGGCGAAGGCGGCCCCCUGGGCCGACAUUGACGCUGAUCCGCGAAAGCCAGGGGAGCAAACGGG
rnacentral:rRNA from 1 species